rnacentral:rRNA from 1 species
CAGCAGCCGCGGUAAUACGUAGGGUGCGAGCGUUAAUCGGAAUUACUGGGCGUAAAGCGUGCGCAGGCGGUUAUAUAAGACAGAUGUGAAAUCCCCGGGCUUAACCUGGGAACUGCGCUUGUGACUGCACAGCUAGAGUAUGGCAGAGGGGGGUGGAAUUCCACGUGUAGCAGUGAAAUGCGUAGAGAUGUGGAGGAACACCGAUGGCGAAGGCAGCCCCCUGGGCCAAUACUGACGCUCAUGCACGAAAGCGUGGGGAGCAAACAGGAUUAGAUACCCCUGUAGUCCCUGUCUCUUAUAC